CUGAGAGCCUACCUGGAGGGCACGUGCGUGGAGUGGCUCCGCAGAUACCUGGAGAACGGGAAGGAGACGCUGCAGCGCGCAGAACCCCCAAAGACACACGUGACCCACCACCCCCUCUCUGACCAUGAGGCCACCCUGAGGUGCUGGGCCCUGGGCUUCUACCCUGCGGAGAUCACACUGACCUGGCAGCGGGAUGGGGAGGACCAGACCCAGGACACCGAGCUUGUGGAGACCAGGCCAGCAGGAGAUGGAACCUUCCAGAAGUGGGCAGCUGUGGUGGUGCCUUCUGGACAAGAGCAGAGAUACACGUGCCAUAUGCAGCACGAGGGGCUGCAAGAGCCCCUCACCCUGAGCUGGGGUAAGGAGGGGAAUGGGGGGUCACAUCUCUUAUCAGAGAAAGCAGAAGUCCUUCUGGAGCCCUUCAGCCGGGUCAGGGCUGAGGCUUGGGGGUCAGGGCCCCUCACCUUCUCCUCCUUUCCCAGAGCCAUCUUCCCAGCCCACCAUCCCCAUCAUGGGCAUCGUUGCUGGCCUGGCUGUCCUGGUUGUCCUAGCUGUCCUUGGAGCUGUGGUCACCGCUAUGAUGUGUAGGAGGAAGAGCUCAGGUGGAAAAGGAGGGAGCUGCUCUCAGGCUGCGUGCAGCAACAGUGCCCAGGGCUCUGAUGAGUCUCUCAUCACUUGUAAAGCCUGAGACAGCUGCCUGUGUGGGACUGAGAUGCAGGAUUUCUUCACACCUCUCCUUUGUGACUUCAAGAGCCUCUGGCAUCUCUUUCUGCAAAGGCACCUGAAUGUGUCUGCGUUCCUGUUAGCAUAAUGUGAGGAGGUGGAGAGACAGCCCACCCCCGUGUCCACCGUGACCCCUGUCCCCACACUGACCUGUGUUCCCUCCCCGAUCAUCUUUCCUGUUCCAGAGAGGUGGGGCUGGAUGUCUCCAUCUCUGUCUCAAAUUCAUGGUGCACUGAGCUGCAACUUCUUACUUCCCUAAUGAAGUUAAGAACCUGAAUAUAAAUUUGUGUUCUCAAAUAUUUGCUAUGAAGCGUUGAUGGAUUAAUUAAAUAAGUCAAUUCCUAGAAGUUGAGAGAGCAAAUAAAGACCUGAGAACC
rnacentral:lncRNA from 1 species